rnacentral:rRNA from 1 species
GAUGUCUACCAUACUGCCCUAAGCAUGCCGGAUCUCAUCUGAUCUUGGAAGUUAAGAAGGGAUAGGUCAGAAUAGUACUGAGAAGAAAGGUGUCCUAUGAAUAAUACAUGGGGCAGGA